rnacentral:rRNA from 1 species
AUUGAACGCUGGCGGCAGGCCUAACACAUGCAAGUCGAACGAGUGGCGGACGGGUGAGUAAUGUCUGGGAAACUGCCUGAUGGAGGGGGAUAACUACUGGAAACGGUAGCUAAUACCGCAUACCAUCGGAUGUGCCCAGAUGGGAUUAGCUAGUAGGUGGGGUAAAGGCUCACCUAGGCGACGAUCCCUAGCUGGUCUGAGAGGAUGACCAGCAACACUGGAACUGGGACACGGUCCAGACUCCUAAGGAAGGCAGCAGUGGGAAAUAUUGCACAAUGGGCGAAAAACUGAUGCAGCCAUGCCGCGAGUAUGAAGAAGGCCUUCGGGUUGUAAAGUACUUUCAGCGGGGAGGCGUUACCCGCAGAAGAAGCACCGGCUAACUCAGUGACAGCAGCCGCGGUAAUUC